UCCCUAGUAGCUCAGCUGGUAAAGAAUCUGCCUGCAAUGCAGAAGACCCCGGUUGGAUUCCUGGGUGAGGAA
rnacentral:tRNA from 1 species